AGAGUUUGAUCCUGGCUCAGGACGAACGCUGGCGGCGCGCCUAACACAUGCAAGUCGAACGGAGCUGUUUUCUCUGAAGUUUUCGGAUGGAAGAGAGUUCAGCUUAGUGGCGAACGGGUGAGUAACACGUGAGCAACCUGCCUUUCAGUGGGGGACAACAUUUGGAAACGAAUGCUAAUACCGCAUAAGACCACAGUGUCGCAUGGCACAGGGGUCAAAGGAUUUAUCCGCUGAAAGAUGGGCUCGCGUCCGAUUAGCUAGAUGGUGAGGUAACGGCCCACCAUGGCGACGAUCGGUAGCCGGACUGAGAGGUUGAACGGCCACAUUGGGACUGAGACACGGCCCAGACUCCUACGGGAGGCAGCAGUGGGGAAUAUUGCACAAUGGGGGAAACCCUGAUGCAGCGACGCCGCGUGGAGGAAGAAGGUCUUCGGAUUGUAAACUCCUGUCCCAGGGGACGAUAAUGACGGUACCCUGGGAGGAAGCACCGGCUAACUACGUGCCAGCAGCCGCGGUAAAACGUAGGGUGCAAGCGUUGUCCGGAAUUACUGGGUGUAAAGGGAGCGCAGGCGGAUUGGCAAGUUGGGAGUGAAAUCUAUGGGCUCAACCCAUAAAUUGCUUUCAAAACUGUCAGUCUUGAGUGGUGUAGAGGUAGGCGGAAUUCCCGGUGUAGCGGUGGAAUGCGUAGAUAUCGGGAGGAACACCAGUGGCGAAGGCGGCCUACUGGGCACUAACUGACGCUGAGGCUCGAAAGCAUGGGUAGCAAACAGGAUUAGAUACCCUGGUAGUCCAUGCCGUAAACGAUGAUUACUAGGUGUGGGAGGAUUGACCCCUUCCGUGCCGCAGUUAACACAAUAAGUAAUCCACCUGGGGAGUACGACCGCAAGGUUGAAACUCAAAGGAAUUGACGGGGGCCCGCAC
rnacentral:rRNA from 1 species